AUUAAGUCGUAUUGAGUCCCAGCUGGGAAAAGGAGAAAUCCACAAGAUGGAGAAGGCUUGUGGUGGAGGAAGAACCGUAAAGUACUUAGAGAGUAUAAGAAGGUAAGAAUUGUGAGGAAAUGGAAAACAGAGCCAGAGGAAGAAUGACCACAGAGCAAAGUGGGAAGGGUAAAGCACAAAGGUACCUGGGUUGUGCCUUCUGCUUGUUCUCGGGAUGCUCUCCCUGUGCCUCAUUUAUGAGAGAACACAGUUCUGCCUUAUGUAAGGUUUCUUUCUUGAUGGAAAGGAGCAACACAACUUCGGGGAUUUUCUCAUCUUCUUGGUCCAUCCUUUAAGUCCUCUGGGAAGGCCCCAGCUGGGGAAAGGCCUGCUCUCAGCUGACAAACACCUGGAGAAUAGGUUGUCCUUUAUGUUCUAAUUGGUGCUGCUCUUGUAAGUGUGUCUGCUUGCUGAGUAAAUGCAGGGGAAACCUCUGUCCUGUAUGUAUGCUUUGUCCAGUGUGGCUGUCAUCGGAAGUGUCCUGGAGAGAAGGGCAGUCCAGUGACUCUUCUGCUUCCUUUUGACUAGCCUCAUUAUUAUAGGCAGACAUUAGACCCUUGGAAGAUGAGGAGACCAAUGUGUCUAUGGUGUUCUCACUUCUACUUCUCUUUAGUCCUAAAGGGAAAUCAGUGCCAUCACCAGGGGUAGGGAAUGUUUGCCAUAACUGGACAAACUUGCUGACCUUGGGAUCUGCAGCAAUGCCCAUAGAGAGCCUGCCCUUACAGUAUGCAAUGGGAUGCCACGGUCUGGUAAUAUUUUCUUUGAUGUAUCUAUAAUAUCUUAGGCUCAAAACCCAAAAUAUCCAAUUGCUUCCACAUUAGCAGUGUCUGGCAUGAGGGGGAUCAGUUCCUCCAAGGAUUUGGGAACCAAUUCCAGUCUUCAUUGACCAGGGGUACAUCACUACUUCUAUGACUAUCAGCCCAUAUCUGGGGUUGACUGCCAUUAAGAUGCUACACAGAUCUCCAGCUCUUCGGACACCCAACAGUGGGCAGGAUACGCACCGGCCACAACAUAUCUUCUCACCUUUUUAUAACAACUGAGUCAAAUCCUACAACAGUGAAUUAUAAGCCUACUCCUUAACUCAAAUAUUGUUCUUUGGACCAUUACAACAUUUGCCUAGGCUGUAAUGAUAGGCAUCAAAAUUGUGAACACCGUAGUGCCAGCUCAUCAUUUGCUCAGGUUCAACUUUGGUAGGAAAGGCCAAAGUUGAUGAUUUUGACUUUUCCGUUCUUGUGUAACAAAAUAUCACUCGAUUUCAAGUCUCCGUGAACUACACUGUGCCCAUCCCAGUAUAUCGAGUCUGCUAAUAUUUGCCUAAAUAUUUCCCUGACCUUGUCUUCCUCGAGGUGGCAAGACUUCAGAUGAAUUUGUAAAGCUAUAGAAUUUCAACUAGCUCCAUGAGAAGGUAUAGAUGUGUCUCAGACUCAAUUACUUGGUGAAGCAAUAUGAUAUUGGGGUGGAUGUAUAUCUUCAUUAUAUUGGCCAUGCUCUUGUCUGACUGUCACCCUUGCUGCUUCUUUGCAUGCACUUUGAUAACCACAGUAGCAGGACUUUCACUGUCCCAGUCACUGCACUAUCCUAAGACCUCCCUUGUCACAGGACCUCCACUGUGGUAGUACCGCAGCUGUCAGGAAACUCCACAGUCUCAUUACCUCCAAACUGCAAGAUCUCUACUGGCACAGGAAUUGUACUGCCCCUGGACUUCCACUGUCACAGCACUUCAACUGUUACAAGGACCUCUACUGUUGUAAGACCUCCUAUAUCACAGCACCUCCACGGUGACAAGGACCUGCAUUGUCAAAAGACCUCCAGUGUCUCAGUCCCUCCACUGAUUCAGGACUUUCAAAUUGCAGGAACUCUACUAGCACAGGUCAUCCACAGUUGCAGUUCCUCAACUGUUAUAAGGACCUCCAUUUUUGCAGAACCUUCAGUGUCCCUGCACCUUCACAGUCUCAGCAACGCC
ensembl:lncRNA